rnacentral:rRNA from 1 species
AGUGAACGCUGGCGGUAGGCCUAACACAUGCAAGUCGAACGGCAGCACAGUAAGAGCUUGCUCUUACGGGUGGCGAGUGGCGGACGGGUGAGGAAUACAUCGGAAUCUACUUUUUCGUGGGGGUUAACGUAGGGAAACUUACGCUCAUACCGCAUACGACCUACGGGUGAAAGCAGGGGAUCUUCGGACCUUGCGCGAUUGAAUGAGCCGAUGUCGGAUUAGCUAGCUGGCGGGGUAAAGGCCCACCAAGGCGACGAUCCGUAGCUGGUCUGAGAGGAUGAUCAGCCACACUGGAACUGAGACACGGUCCAGACUCCUACGGGAGGCAGCAGUGGGGAAUAUUGGACAAUGGGCGCAAGCCUGAUCCAGCCAUACCGCGUGGGUGAAGAAGGCCUUCGGGUUGUAAAGCCCUUUUGUUGGGAAGGAAACGCAGCAGGUUAAUACCCCGCUGUUCUGACGGUACCCAAAGAAUAAGCACCGGCUAACUUCGUG